UAGGGAAUAUUGCACAAUGGGCGAAAGCCUGAUGCAGCGACGCCGCGUGAGCGAAGAAGUUCUUCGGAACGUAAAGCUCUGUCCUUGGGGACGAAAAAAAUGACGGUACCUAAGGAGGAAGCCCCGGCUAACUACGUGCCAGCAGCCGCGGUAAUACGAAGGGGGCAAGCGUUGUUCGGAAUUACUGGGCGUAAAGCGCACGCAGGCGGCGUGACGCGUCAGAAGUGAAAUCCCCGGGCUCAACCUGGGAACUGCUUUUGAAACGGUCAUGCUUGAAUCAUGGAGAGGGUAGCGGAAUUCCGAGUGUAGAGGUGAAAUUCGUAGAUAUUAGGAGGAACACCAGUGGCGAAGGCGGCCUGCUGGGCUUUUACUGACGCUGAGGCUCGAAAGUGUGGGUAGCAAACA
rnacentral:rRNA from 1 species